rnacentral:lncRNA from 1 species
GAGAGUGCACAUAUCAUGAAUGGACUUAUCAUCCUUCAUCUUGAAGAGCUCAUAAUCAGUAGUUAGCACAUCAAUCUUCGACUUCUUAACUUGAGUUGUCCCUUCAUGUGCUGUUUGAAGAGCUUCCCAGAUUUCUUUUGGCAGAUUGACAUGCGGAAAUCUUGUUGUAUUCGUUUGGUCCAACGCCAUACACGAGGAUAUUUUUUGCUCGAAAAGUC